rnacentral:rRNA from 1 species
GAGAAUACUAAGGCGAAGAGAUAAUACUUGUAAGGAACUCGGCAAGUUGUCUUCAUAAGUUAGACGAUAUGAAGAACCACUGAAUAAUAAUUUAUAUUAUUUAUAUGAAAUUUCAUGAGUGGUGUCACAAAAUCGGAGGCCCCGACUGUUUACUAAAAACACAGCUUUCUGCAACGAAUAAUAUCUUUGUAUAGAAAGCGAAUUUUGCCCAAUGCCAUUAAUAUAAGGUUGGUAAGCGCUAUGCGUAAUUACUAAUUGAAGUUCUGGUCAAUGGCGGUCUUAUCUAUGAGGAUCCUAAGGUAGCAAAAUUAAUUGUCCAUUAAAUGUGGUCCUGACUGAAUAAAGUAACGAUGGUCUCACUGUCUCUACAAGUAUCUCAGUGAAAUUGAAUUAGCCGUGCAGAUGCGGUUUAACUUCGGUUAGACGGGAAGACCCUAUGCAACUUUACUGUAGCUAGUUAUAAUAUUCUCGUAAUCUGGAUGUAGCGUAUAAGGUAGUCGACUUGACUAAGGUGAAACACCUUAACUAGAAUUACGUUAAUAUUUAUCCUUUUAACUAUUAUUAGUUAUAAUAAUAGCCUAUGUUGAAAUACUUUAUAAUAUUUAUUAUUCAGUACUUAGUAAUAGGAGA